UACAGAGGAUGCAGGCGUUAUCCGGAAUGAUUGGGCGUAAAGCGUCUGUAGGUGGCUUUUUAAGUCCGCCGUCAAAUCCCAGGGCUCAACUCUGGACAGGCGGUGGAAACUACCAAGCUGGAGUACGGUAGGGGCAGAGGGAAUUUCCGGUGUAGCGGUGAAAUGCGUAGAUAUCGGAAGGAACAUCAGUGGCGAAAGCGACUUCCUGGACCAAUACUGACGCUCAUGUGCGAAAGCGUGGGGAGCAAACAGG
rnacentral:rRNA from 1 species